AAAAAAAAAAAAGAAGAAGAAGAAAGGUCCGAUUCUUUCUAUUUUUCUCUUUGGGUUUUCUUGAAAAAUCAUGAUCGACGUUGAUUUAACUGUCCAAACUCAAAUCCAAUUUCGGUAACGUGAUCUACAAAGCUCAAUCUACGUUUCUACCAAUUAGUUUGAGGAUUUGUUGUAAGGAGCUUGCUAAACACUAUCCAAGUGUCGGAUUUACAUUUGGUGAAAUUUUGACGUUUAUACUUUGGUUGCAGGGUUUGCAGAUAUAGAUAUUGAUUCGUCCACCUAGCGUAAGUGAUGCUAUGAUUGGAGCAUACACAAUAGUCAUAAGUUACAGACUCAUGGGUAAUCUGCAUUUUAGUUUUGAAGCUCACGCGGCUACUUGUUGGCUCCCCACUAGCCUCUCUCAUGCAUCAGAUCUCCGUCGUUGGGUUCCUGGUUUUGCAUAUGGAGAUCUCAUUUUCAGGUUGCAGAUUAUUUGUGGAAGAUUCUGGCUCCUGUUGUGUUGACGUCCUCUAUGAUAUCAUUGCUUGGUUCCUCACUUCCUCUCUUGCAGGACGUCAAGGUGGUGACUCAGCCAAGCAGCUAAGUUCCAGCAUAUACCAGUGUGUUUUUUCUAGCUGUGGCUUUUUACUGCGGUAGACUGCCGCAUCAAACCGCCAAGUGGGGCGGCUUUUUCUUAGCCCCAAGGUUCAACUGGACUGAGUCAACUUUUUGGCUCAUCCUUAUUAGCUUUAGGAUCUUUAUGCAUCGCAUUGGUUGGUUUCUUUGGGUGUUUGUUGUUUUGCCCACCUUAUUUUGUAUUGGAUAAUUGAUUUAUGCAUUUUAUCUUCCCCUUCUACUCUUGUAAUUGCUUAGGGAAAAAAAGAACAAGAAAAAGAGAGUAAUCUAUUGGAGUCUUUCAGGCAGGUUGAUGAAUCAAA